rnacentral:rRNA from 1 species
CCUACCUUUAACUCUGGGAUAGCCCGAAGAAAUUCGGAUUAAAUACCGGAUAAUAUCAAGAUAUGACAUCACAGCUUGAUUAAAGGCGCGAGUUGGUUAAAGAUGGGCAUGCGUCCCAUUAGUUAGUUGGGGAGGUAACGGCUCACCAAGGCGAUGAUGGGUAGGGGCUCUGAGAGGAUUACCCCCCACAUUGGUACUGAGACAGGGACCAAACUCCUACGGGAGGCAGCAGUGAGGAAUAUUGGGCAAUGGACGGAAGUCUGACCCAGCCAUGCCGCGUGCAGGAAGACGGCCUUAUGGGUUGUAAACUGCUUUUAUGUAGGGAAAAAGUUCAUAUUGCGAUAUGAUUUGAUGGUACUACAGGAAUAAGAAUCGGCUAACUCCGUGCCAGCAGCCGCGGUAAUACGGAGGAUUCGAGCGUUAUCCGGAUUUAUUGGGUUUAAAGGGUGCGCAGGCGGACUAUUAAGUCAGUGGUGAAAUUUUCCGGCUCAACCGGGACAGUGCCAUUGAUACUGAUAGACUAGAGUAUAAUUGACGUAUGUGGAAUGUAGCAUGUAGCGGUGAAAUGCAUAGAGAUGCUACAGAACACCGAUAGCGAAGGCAGCAUACGAAGCUAUAACUGACGCUCAUGCACGAAAGCGUGGGGAUCAAACAGGAUUAGAUACCCUGGUAGUCCACGCUGUAAACGAUGAUAACU